ensembl:lncRNA
AGGGGAUGUGUAGCAGACCCUUUUGUUGCCUUGAAAUGGAGGGCUCCCCAGAGGGUCUUCAUCACUUCGUUGUCCUGCUGAGAAGGAAAGGAGGGAACCAUGCUGCAGCGGAAUCAAGGCCAACAACAAAAGAGUUUCUGAAGUGUUUUUUUCCCCCUUUUGUGUUGCAAGUUUCACAAAAAAUGUUCAGUCUGGUUUAUAUCUCUCAGAAUGCAAUGCCAGUCAUCCUGCAGGUAGAUUCAUAGCUAAUCAAAUAGCC